rnacentral:tRNA from 1 species
GCCGAAGUGGCGGAAUUGGUAGACGCGCACGGUUCAGGGCCGUGUGACCUUUUAGGUCAUGUGAGUUCAAGUCUCAUCUUCGGCA